UACGUAGGGUGCAAGCGUUGUCCGGAAUUAUUGGGCGUAAAGAGCUCGUAGGCGGUCUGUCGCGUCGGAUGUGAAAAAUCCAGGGCUCAACCCUGGACCUGCAUUCGAUACGGGCAGACUAGAGUUCGGUAGGGGAGACUGGAAUUCCUGGUGUAGCGGUGAAAUGCGCAGAUAUCAGGAGGAACACCGGUGGCGAAGGCGGGUCUCUGGGCCGAAACUGACGCUGAGGAGCGAAAGCGUGGGGAGCGAACAGG
rnacentral:rRNA from 1 species